AUGGAGGCUGCGGCGGCGGCGGAGGAGAAGGUGUUCGUCGCGGUGCCGGCGGAGCCCAGGGCGGGGCAGUCGACCCUGGCGUGGGCUCUCCGCCAUCUCUACGGCGGCGCCGGCACCACGAUCGUCGUCACGCACGUGCACGUCCCGCCGCAGAUGAUCCCCAUCAUGGGGGUCAAGUUCCACGCCGAUAAGCUGAGCCCCGAGCCGGUGCGCGCGUUCAGAAGGGCGGAGCGCGAGAGGGCCCACGAGAUGCUGGACGACUACAUCCACCAGUGCUCACAAAUCAAGGUGAAAUGCGAGAAGCUGGUGAUCGAGCAGGAAGACGCCGCAUCCGGUCUCGUCGAGCUCAUUCGGCUCCGUCGGAUCACCAAGCUCGUGAUCGCGGCCGCCGAAGACAAGCACUACUCGAAAAAGCUCGACAAGCCUGUGUCCAAGACAGCGACAGAAAUAAUGGAGAGAGCUGAUCCAUCAUGCAAGAUUUGGUUCGUCUGCAAGGAGCAGUUAGUCUGCACCAGGAGCAAGGAAGUACAAAUUGCACCAUUAACUGUUGCUGCACCUUUGCUCCCUAGUCCUGGCCAUGAAGCUCAGCAUUUGCAAUCUCCCCAGGAAGAGGGUGACACCGAGAUGGAACCGAGUUUCGACGAUGAGCUCGAAGAGGCACGCAAAGCGGUCGGGGAGCUGAUGAGAAGGGCUCUCAAAGAAUCCUGCAGGCGCCAAAAGGCAGAAGAAGAAAUGGCCACAUCUCUCCAGAAAGCGCAAGAACACGAGCAGCUGUACCUCGAAGAGGUGAAGAAGAGGGAGGAGCUCGAAGCAGCCCUGGCGAGAGCAGACAGAGAAAUCGCGCGGCUACGACAGGCAAUCCAGUAA
rnacentral:rRNA from 1 species